CAAUGGACGAAAGUCUGAUGGAGCGACACAGCGUGCAGGAUGAAGGCCCUAUGGGUUGUAAACUGCUGUGGUUAGGGAAGAAAAAGUAGCAUAGGAAAUGAUGCUACCUUGACGGUACCUGAUUAGAAAGCAACGGCUAACUAUGUGCCAGCAGCCGCGGUAAUACAUAGGUUGCAAGCGUUAUCCGAAAUUAUUGGGCGUAAAGCGUCUGUAGGUUGUUUGUUAAGUCUGGCGUUAAAUUUUGGGGCUCAACCCCAAAACGCGUUGGAUACUGGCAGACUAGAGUUAUGUAGAGGUUAGCGGAAUUCCUUGUGAAGCGGUGAAAUGCGUAGAUAUAAGGAAGAACAUCAAUAUGGCGAAGGCAGCUAACUGGGCAUACACUGACACUGAGAGACGAAAGCGUGGGGAGCAAACAGGAUUAGAUACCCUGGUAGUCCACGCCCUAAACGAUGAUCAUUAGUUGAUGGGGAACUCAUCGACGCAGCUAACGCAUUAAAUGAUCCGCCUGAGUAGUACGUUCGCAAGAAUAAAACUUAAAGGAAUUGACGGGGAUCCGCACAAGCGGUGGAGCAUGUGGUUUAAUUUGAUGUUACGCGUAGAACCUUACCCACUCUUGACAUCUUCUGCAAAGCUAUAGAGACAUAGUGGAGGUUAACAGAAUGACAGAUGGUGCAUGGUUGUCGUCAGCUCGUGUCGUGAGAUGUUCGGUUAAGUCCUGCAACGAGCGCAACCCUUAUCCUUAGUUACUACCAUUUAGUUGAGCACUCUAAGGAGACUGCCCGAGUAAUCGGGAGGAAGGUGGGGACGACGUCAAAUCAUCAUGCCUCUUACGAGUGGGGCUACACACGUGCUACAAUGGACGGUACAAAGAGAAGCGAAGUGGUGACAUGGAGCAAACCUCAAAAAACCGUUCUCAGUUCGGAUUGAAGUCUGCAACUC
rnacentral:rRNA from 2 species